UAAUACUAAAUGCAACCGCAAUGUGGCAAUAUUUUAUUUUCAGACUUUCCCGCCCUGCUUUCAAAAUCAUCUGCAAAUACAGUCUACCGAUAGGCCCGGCUAGCUCAGUCGGUAGAGCAUGAGACUCUUAAUCUCAGGGUCGUGGGUUCGAGCCCCACGUUGGGCGCUGUUUUUUCUUAAAAACCUUUGAAACGAAAGAAAUCAUAUUUUUAGCACUUACUGUACUUUUGUUUUAAUUACGCUACAUUAGCUAUCGCUUCAUACUCCAUACAUUCAUCGUGGAAAAGGAACGCUAGUGGACGUGGCGUUUGGCCAGAGCGAUGUGGAUAGAGCAAGUCAGGAGAUGGUCUUAUCCAGAGCAAGUCCAUACAUUUACAUACUCGGUGCCCCAUGGGAAUCAAACCCACAACCCUAGUAUUGCAAGUGCCAUGCUCUACCAACUAAACCACAUCAUCACAAACCACUUGAUGUCUCAAUGUACUCAAUGACUGGAUUGUACAUUGUUUUUCUUCAUGGUGAUGUAAAGUCUACAGAUGUUUGAGGACAGAGUUUUGUUCUUUCUGGAUCCCAUUUGAAUGAUGAUCAACUCUUACAAUUCCAGCUAUUGAGUCCUGCAAGAUACUCUUCUUAAUUAGGUGGUGCUGCAGCACCCUCAGCACCCCUACUUCCUGUGGCUAUGCCUGGAAUAGCUCAAGAAGGAGGCUAGACUGUUCUGUAGUAGCCAGCGAAGAGUCCAGAUCUGAGUCACAUCCCUAACCUAUGGCGAGAACUGAAAACAGCAGUUGGUGGAGGGCAGCCCUAAAACAUUGAAGAAUUAGAGCAGUUUGCUGCUGAAAACUGGGCCAAAUUGCCUGUAGAAAGGAGCAGCAAGCUCAUUGAUGUCUACAAGAUGUAUUUGUCAGGAGUUAUCUUGGUCAACGGCUGUGCAACCAAGUACUAGGUCCUGGGUGCCAAUACUUUUGCCAAUGCCAUUUGUCUUUAUUUUCUAAAUUAAAAUUGUAAACUUAAGUUUACAAAAUAUAUAUAUAUAUAUAUAUUUGGCCGCAACUGUAUGAUUGAAUUGUUGACAACACACUAUAUUAUACAACAUAAAUGGGUUAAACCCCAUUUCAUGCCCCAUGGGGUUAAUAAUCAAUAUUCAGACUAAAGGUUGCCUAGAAAAUAAUCCCUGUAAUAGUGAUAAAAACUGC
ensembl:lncRNA